GCCGGGCGUGGCGGCUCACGCCUGUCAUCCCAGCACCUUGGGAGGCUGAGGCGGGCGGAUCACCUGAGGUCAGGAGUUUGAGACCAGCCUGGCCAACAGGGUGAAACCCCGUCUCUA
rnacentral:sRNA from 1 species